UCAGCUCUCUUUGCCAUUUAGGCUUAGAUUAAGUGUAGUAACUGUUCUGCUAUUGGGUGACUCCAAUGGCGCGCUCUACGGAGUCGCAUUGGUCUCACAAGUUUUUGGAAAUGGUCUGGUGCUCCCUGAGCUUCGCUCAUAGUGCUGGCACAGUGUCGCCAGUAUUGCACUGCCUCUGGCUGACGCAACCACUU
rfam:Neofusicoccum parvum TCRNP2 chromosome Tnknown NP2_03_scaffold_1041, whole genome shotgun sequence.